GACAUAUAUGCGAUAUCAAUCAUAAAAACUAGGCCUGGGAUUCUGACCCGAACCGAAUGGUCUGAACCGGACCGAACCGAACAUUAUGAAAUUCGGUUUUUGUUCGGUUCUCAAGAGCAAACCAAUCGGAAGCUGUUCAAAAUAUGUUCGGUUAUUGCCUCGGUUCGGUUUGGUUCAUGAUAACCGUUUGGUUAACCGAAAUUUAACCUAGCUAUAUAUAACUUUAAACCUAAACAAACCUAAUCAGUUUCUAUUUGUCGUCCUCGAACUCGAGCCGCUGCUUCUGUCGGAUUCUUAACCUAAGAAACCUCGUCUUCUUCAUCUGAUUCUCAUAUCUCUUCGAGCACAAGGUUGUGAAACAAUGAUGCCCUACUUGGUUUCGUUGAGCUUGCUUUCGAGCUACAACUAGAGACAAUAGCGAUCCAUGAAGCUGUCAAAGUUAUACUACAAGGUCUUCGUGUGGAUAUCAAUUGUGAAGGCAUAAAAACUCCCUUUCGUGUCGCCAAGGCUCUUCGACAAGGAACCAGAGACAGGACAAGACGAUGGAUAAUCGACAAAUUCCAUGAGAAACUUCUCAUUAGAAGUAGAGGUUGGAGUUCAAGCUUCAUGGUGACAUUAAUUUUUUAUUGUUUUCAUAUAUUCAGAAUGUUUGAUCUUUUUCGUAGAUUGAGAAAGGAUGAACAAGAUAGAUGUUGGUUUUUUUA